GAUGAACGCUGGCGGCGUGCCUAAUACAUGCAAGUCGAGCGAACAGAUGAGGAGCUUGCUCCUCUGACGUUAGCGGCGGACGGGUGAGUAACACGUGGAUAACCUACCUAUAAGACUGGGAUAACUUCGGGAAACCGGAGCUAAUACCGGAUAAUAUAUUUAACCGCAUGGUUCAAUAGUGAAAGACGGUUUUGCUGUCACUUAUAGAUGGAUCCGCGCCGCAUUAGCUAGUUGGUAAGGUAACGGCUUACAAAGGCAACGAUGCGUAGCCGACCUGAGAGGGUGAUCGGCCACACUGGAACUGAGACACGGUCCAGACUCCUACGGGAGGCAGCAGUAGGGAAUCUUCCGCAAUGGGCGAAAGCCUGACGGAGCAACGCCGCGUGAGUGAUGAAGGUCUUCGGAUCGUAAAACUCUGUUAUUAGGGAAGAACAAAUGUGUAAGUAACUAUGCACGUCUUGACGGUACCUAAUCAGAAAGCCACGGCUAACUACGUG
rnacentral:rRNA from 1 species